rnacentral:rRNA from 1 species
AACGAACGCUGGCGGCAUGCCUAACACAUGCAAGUUGAACGAGACCUUCGGGUCUAGUGGCGCACGGGUGCGUAACGCGUGGGAUCCUGCCCUUAGGUUCGGAAUAACUCCCCGACAGGGGUGCUAAUACCGGAUAAUGUCUUCGGACCAAAGAUUUAUCGCCUUUGGAUGGGCCCGCGUUGGAUUAGCUAGUUGGUAGGGUAAAAGCCUACCAAGGCGACGAUCCAUAGCUGGUCUGAGAGGAUGAUCAGCCACACUGGGACUGAGACACGGCCCAGACUCCGACGAGAGGCAGCAGCGGGGAAUAUGGGAAAACGGGCGAAAGCCUGAUCCAGCAAGGCCGGGUGAGUGAUGAAGGCCUUAGGGUUGUAAAGCUAGGUUACCCGUGAAGAUAAUGACAGUACCGAGAGAAUAAGCCCCGGCUAGCUCCGUG